rnacentral:rRNA from 1 species
GAACUGAAGAGUUUGAUCCUGGCUCAGAUUGAACGCUGGCGGCAUGCCUUACACAUGCAAGUCGAACGGCAACGCGGGGCAACCUGGCGACGAGUGGCGAACGGGUGAGUAAUGCAUCGGAACGUGCCCAGUAGAGGGGG